rnacentral:rRNA from 1 species
UACGUAGGGUGCGAGCGUUGUCCGGAAUUAUUGGGCGUAAAGGGCUCGUAGGCGGUCUGUCGCGUCGGUAGUGAAAACUCAGGGCUUAACCCUGAGCCUGCUUCCGAUACGGGCAGACUAGAGGUAUGCAGGGGAGAAUGGAAUUCCUGGUGUAGCGGUGAAAUGCGCAGAUAUCAGGAGGAACACCGGUGGCGAAGGCAGGUCUCUGGGCCAUAACUGACGCUGAGAAGCGAAAAGCAUGGGGGAGCGAACAGG